CAAGACCUGCGCUUUUGGAGCGGCCGAUGCCUGAUUAGCUUGUUGGUAAGGUAAAAGCUUACCAAGGCUUCGAUCAGUAGCUGGUCUGAGAGGACGGCCAGCCUCACUGGGUCUGAGACACGGCCCAGACUCCUACGGGAGGCAGCAGUGGGGAAUUUUGGAUAAUGGGGGCAACCCUGAUCCAGCCAUGCCGCGUGAGUGAAGAAGGCCUUCGGGUUGUAAAGCUCUUUCAGCCGGAACGAAACGGUUACGGUUAAUACCCGUGAUUACUGACGGUACCGGAAGAAGAAGCACCGGCUAACUACGUGCCAGCAGCCGCGGUAAUACGUAGGGUGCGAGCGUUAAUCGGAAUUACUGGGCGUAAAGCGUGCGCAGGUGGUUUUGUAAGUCAGAUGUGAAAGCCCCGGGCUCAACCUGGGAACU
rnacentral:rRNA from 1 species